UACGUAGGGUGCAAGCGUUAAUCGGAAUUACUGGGCGUGAAGCGUGCGCAGGCGGUUGUGCAAGACAGAUGUGAAAUCCCCGGGCUCAACCUGGGAACUGCAUUUGUGACUGCACGGCUAGAGUGUGUCAGAGGGGGGUAGAAUUCCACGUGUAGCAGUGAAAUGCGUAGAUAUGUGGAGGGAUACCGAUGGCGAAGGCAGCCCCCUGGGAUAACACUGACGCUCAUGCACGAAAGCGUGGGGAGCAAACAGG
rnacentral:rRNA from 1 species